UUCCUGUUAGCUCAACGGAUAGAGCAAUCACCUCCUAAGUGUUAGAUGCAGGUUCAAUUCCUGUACAGGAAACCA
rnacentral:tRNA from 1 species